UAAGUCAACAGAGGAAUGAGCUGCAGAAUCACCAGUGGCAUCAUCAUCAACAACCUAUAUUAGGCACUAAUUGUUCCUGAUUCCUGGGCUGGAGCAGUGAGGCUGUGUCUCAGAGAAGGUGGUAAAUGUGCAAACUUCAGGCUGCCUUGUCUUCCAAGUACACCACAUGCUAUAAAGCAGCCUCUGAGAGGACCUUCACUGACUACUGAC
rnacentral:lncRNA from 1 species